rnacentral:rRNA from 1 species
AUUGGUGUGUCUAGCGGCGGGGAUCACCUCUUCCCAUUUCGAACAGAGAAGUUAAGCCCGCCAGCGCUGAUGGUACUGGAGUAAAUCCGGGAGAGUAGGUCCAUGCCUUUU